UACAGAGGGUGCAAGCGUUAAUCGGAAUUACUGGGCGUAAAGCGCGCGUAGGUGGUUUGUUAAGUUGAAUGUGAAAUCCCCGGGCUCAACCUGGGAACUGCAUGCAAAACUGGCAAGCUAGAGUAUGGUAGAGGGUGGUGGAAUUUCCUGUGUAGCGGUGAAAUGCGUAGAUAUUACCAGGAACACCAAUGGCGAAGGCAGCUUGCUGGGCCACUCCUGACACUGAGGUACGAAAGCGUGGGGAGCGAACAGG
rnacentral:rRNA from 1 species